rnacentral:rRNA from 1 species
UCCGGUUGAUCCUGCCAGAGGCCGCUGCUCUUCGGCUGGGACUAAGCCAUGCUAGUCUAGGGGCUUGUACUCCUUCGGGGGUGCAAGCACCGGCGGACGGCUCAGUAACACGUGGACAACCUGCCCUCGGGUGGGGGAUAACCCCGGGAAACUGGGGCUAAUCCCCCAUAGGUGAUGGGUGCUGGAAUGCCCCAUCUCCGAAAGCGCUUAGCGCCCGAGGAUGGGUCUGCGGCGGAUUAGGUAGUUGGUGGGGUAACGGCCCACCAAGCCUAAGAUCCGUACGGGCUGUGGGAGCAGGAGCCCGGAGAUGGACCCUGAGACAAGGGUCCAGGCCCUACGGGGCGCAGCAGGCGCGAAACCUCCGCAAUGCGGGAAACCGCGACGGGGUUAGCCGGAGUGCCCGUGCAUUGCACGGGCUGUCGGGGUGCCUAAACAGCACCCCAUAGCAAGGGCCGGGCAAGGCCGGUGGCAGCCGCCGCGGUAAGACCGGCGGCCCGAGUGGCCGCCACUCUUAUUGGGCCUAAAGCGUCCGUAGCCG